rnacentral:rRNA from 1 species
ACGCUCGACACCUACUGGAGGCAGCAGUAGGGAAUAUUGCGCAAUGGGGGAAACCCUGACGCAGCAACGCCGCGUGGAGGAUGACACUUUUCGGAGCGUAAACUCCUUUUCUUAGGGAAGAAUUCUGACGGUACCUAAGGAAUAAGCACCGGCUAACUCCGUGUCAGCAGCCGCGGUAAUCUGAGCGGGCUGGCAAGGC